rnacentral:rRNA from 1 species
CAGGCCUACGGGGCGCAGCAGUGGGGAAUAUUGGACAAUGGGGGGAACCCUGAUCCAGCGACGCCGCGUGAGUGAAGAAGUAUUUCGGUAUGUAAAGCUCUAUCAGCAGGGAAGAAAAUGACGGUACCUGACUAAGAAGCCCCGGCUAACUACGUGCCAGCAGCCGCGGUAAUACGUAGGGGGCAAGCGUUAUCCGGAUUUACUGGGUGUAAAGGGAGCGUAGGUGGCAGGGCAAGUCAGAUGUGAAAACCCGGGGCUCAACUCCGGGAGUGCAUUUGAAACUGUCCAGCUAGAGAGCAGGCGGG